rnacentral:lncRNA from 1 species
CCUGUGAAGUGUCCAUAAGUUGAUCCUCGCCAGAUGUGCACAUUGAUGAGGCACAACCAUGACACACACCUCCUCACUGAAGGUUAAUCUGAGUGUGCAGUGUACUACUCAAAAUAUAAAUUUGUCAUUAUGAAUAAUUGUAUACCAUACAUCAUUGAGAAUGAUGUUUUCUUGAUCUAUUCAGAAAUUGUCAUGAGUAGAGACUCUAACAUUGGCUUGAAACCCAGAUGUCC